CGAGCGAGCGAGCGAGGGGACGAGCGCCGUCGCCGCGGCCCUCGGGAGAACCGGGCCGGUUCGCAGGCCUGACGGGAGAGAAGCGAUGGCCGGCCGCGUUGCUGAAGCCUGGAGCUUUUCCAGCUCAGUUCUCAAGUAGCCCCACCCCCGACUCUUCGAAUAGCCGAGGAUAACCAUACUGAUCCUACCUGUACCUCCUGAGUCCGGUUUCGUGUAGUGCAGAGACUCGAACCCAGGGCUUCGCGGAUGCGAGACAGGCGCUCUGCGGACCGAGCUCCACCUCCAGCCUCCUCGUCACUGCUUCCGACUUGACUUUCCAGUCGAGCACCUGUUGGGAUGCCACCGCCUCCCAAUCUUUCCCCAUAAGAAGCAGCGCUAGUGUGUAACAACACAAUAACAGAAUUCAGAUGCUUCCUGAACUCAAAGUUGACAUUAGCUUUCCUUCUGAACCAGUCCUCAUAGUAACCCGUUAGAGUUUCAGGGACAGCGUGAAACACUUACUAGUUGAAUGGAUACAUGCUUUCCCAUAAAUUUCUAUGAGUAUCUAAGCACACAAGUGCCUCGUGCGUUCACCUACACCACUAUCAGUCAUUUUAACUCCCUCACCACGUGGUACUCCAUCUAUGACUGUUCUAUUCCUUAACGACUCAGCGGCUGGUAGAUUUAUGCAGUUCAUAAUUUUCUUGUUAUUCAAGCUAUUGCAAGCAAGGUCCUUGAACAGCACACAGAGUGUCUGAUCCAGGCCUUGAACUCUUUCUUCUAGAAGCAAGAUGAUGUCAGAUAAACACGAGCCUAGAAGCAGAAGGUACCGGCUGAAAAGAGACGCUAUGGCGUGUGUUCUCGAUUGAAAACUCCUGGGUCUGGGCAGAUUCGUGCCAUUCCUUUGAUUGGCAGUUUUAAGAAACGGGGAAGGGCUGAGUGAUGGUUCAGCAGCUAAGAACAUUGGCUGGUUAAAUCCUCAGCCCCCACAUGGUGCCUGACAACGGUCUGUAACUCCAGUCUGAGAACUUAGGUCAUCCUCCAUCCUUGGCUGGCACUUCAGGCAUGUGGUGUAUAGACAGAUACUCAGACUAACAUUCAGAUACAUAAAAUAAAAACCUCAAAAAAAUUUUUAGAGGAAAAAGAUGGAAAGCAAGAAGCCUUAGUAGGGUAGACUUCAGAUAAACACUCCCAAGUCUCCCUGGCCCACAAAGCGUUGGGUCAGGUCAUUGUCAUGCCUGCUCCAAGGUUGAAAGGAUUGCAGUUUCAAUGCCAACUUUGAAAUCCACCCCUGAGAAGCUUUUGGAUAGUCAUGGAGCUGUGUCUCAGAGCCUGUUUCUUCAGAAUUCUGUAAAUGUAAGGGGUGUGUGUGGUCAGUCACAGGGACCAAUGUUAGUCACUCUGCAAGGACUCGUUCAUCUCUGAGCCGUUUCCUAUAGGGGACUUCCCGGAUUCUCAGAGCAGCAGCCUGUCAACACAGGACACUCUGGGGAGUGAAGGAGAGUCCACCCUAGGAAGAUGAGACUCCCAGUCCUGCCCUGUAUGUCACCUGGAACCCAGUGGGCGUUAAUUACGUGUGUUAAUUCUGUAACUAUUUAAUGGCUUCUUACCAUUUACUAUACCCCAUGGUGUAGAGAAUAGCAAAUGUUUUCCUUCCAAGAAUUUACAGACUCAACAGAGCCCAGAUACAAUCCAGCAGAUAGGGUGACUGCCACAUACCCGGCCUAGACUUCAGAGGACACAGACUGCCUCUGUUAGCAAGAGGGAAGGGGAAGAGCCCGACACGAAGAUUUCAUGGUGACACCAGAACAGAGGUGCACUUUGAAUGUCAGCUGUAUUCAGACAGCGGCUGUCACACCCUGUUGAGAAUCACCAAUUUUGGCUUGGAGGGGGAAUUCCCCGAGGCCAGGGUAUGCUUCUGGAGUCCCAAAAUGAGUCUCCCAGCACACUCUGAAAACAUAACGUUCACUCAGCUGCUGUCAAUAAAGAGCUCUUUCCAAAAAC